rnacentral:rRNA from 1 species
UACGUAGGGUGCGAGCGUUGUCCGGAAUUACUGGACGUAAAGAGCUCGUAGGCGGUUUGUCGCGUCGUCCGUGAAAACUUGGGGCUCAACCCCAAGCUUGCGGGCGAUACGGGCAGACUUGAGUACUGAAGAGGACGACGGAAUUCCCGGUGUAGAGGUGAAAUUCGUAGAUAUCGGGAGGAACACCAGUGGCGAAGGCGGUCGUCUGGGCAGAUACUGACGCUGAGGUGCGAAAGCGUGGGGAGCAAACAGG